GACGAACGCUGGCGGCGUGCUUAACACAUGCAAGUCGAACGGAAAGUCCCUGCUUUUGUGGGGUGCUCUAGUUGCGAACGGGUGAGUUACCCGUGAGUAACCUACCCUUGCCUUUGGGAUAACUUCAUGAAACUUGGGCUCAUACCGGAUAGGAGCUCCUGCUUCAUGGUGGGGGUUGGAAAGUUUCGGCGGUUGGGGAUGUACUCGCGGCUUAUCAGCUUGUUGGUGGGGUAGUGGCUUACCAAGGCUUUGACGGGUAGCCGGCCUGAGAGGGUGACCGGACACAUUGGGACUGAGAUACGGCACAGACUACUACGGGAGGCAGCAGUGGGGAAUAGUGCACAAGGGGAGGAAGCAUGAUGCAGCAACGCAGCGUGGGGGAUGACGGCCUGCGGGUUGUAAACCGCUUUCGCCUGUGACGAAGCGUGAGUGACGGUAAUGGGUAAAGAAGCACCGGCUAACUACGUG
rnacentral:rRNA from 1 species